AUCGAAGCUCUGCCGUGAUGCGCGCACACGGGUGAGCACCGCGUAUUCGGUCCCAUCAAUCCCCGACAACAUGAAGCAUCGGCUACUUUAGAAACAUGGCAGGAUGCAAGUUCAACAACGGCUUGAAAAGAACGAGUGUUUCUGGUCACGGUCGGUGAAAUGCUCCUGAAGCUGCGUUGUGUGUCGCGAGACUUUCCAGCGGUGGAAUCUCACGAGCAGAGCAAGAAGCACAGAGACUAGCGAAGGCCGCCAGCAGCCCGCGGGGCUAGCUGCUGCUCCGCCGCGAGCUCCUGCUCCGCCUCUAGCUCCUGCUCCGCCUCUAGCUCCUGCUCCGCCGCUAGCUUCUGCUCCGCCGCUAGCUCCUGCUCCGCCGCUAGCUGCUGCUCCGCCGCUAGCUCCUGCUCCGCCGCUAGCUCCUGCUCCGCCGCUAGCUCCUGCUCCGCCGCUAGCUCCUGCUCCGCCGCUAGCUGCUGCUCCGCCGCUAGCUCCUGCUCCGCCGCUAGCUCCUGCUCCGCCGCUAGCUCCUGCUCCGCCGCUAGCUGCUGCUCCGCCGCUAGCUGCUGCUCCGCCGCUAGCUCCUGCUCCGCCGCUAGCUCCUGCUCCGCCGCUAGCUCCUGCUCCGCCACCCGCAAUGACGUCAACUACAACGCUGGAGGUCACCGGAGGAAAUCCAGCGCCGUGCAACAAAGAGCUCAUCACCGAAGACCAACAGGGCGGCGCGUUCUUCAUUCUGUUCCACGAGACUCUGGACCAGACCACCGCGAGCAGACAGCUGGACUUCAUGUGCUCUUGGUGAAAUGACCAGGUCCCGUCAGGAUCCUGUGGAGCUCAUGGGCCAUGACACCAGGACCUACUUCACAUCUCACAGAGAAUGGACCAAAUGUCAACUGGAAGUUUUUAUAUUUAUACAGUUUGAAAAGGAUUGUUUUCCUAGUAUAUUCACAAAAGCUCAGGAGUAGACAUGAAGCUGUGCACAAACAUCCAUCACAUAGAGACAUGAGAACUCACACACACACACACACAUACAUUCUAUUAUGUAAAUGAAUUUGCAUUUUAAAAGCAGCUGGAAAUGUUAUUUGUUAUUUUAUGGAUUUUUUUUGUUCAAAAGGAACUAUGUUGCAUGUAUUUUUUAAAUAUAUUUACUUAAUUUUAGAGACAUUUGUUCAUGGGACUUAAAUGUUCUGAAAAUGUAUUAAUAAAUAUAAUUUACAACAGCAA